rnacentral:rRNA from 1 species
AUUGAACGCUGGCGGCAGGCCUAACACAUGCAAGUCGAACGAGUGGCGGACGGGUGAGUAAUGUCUGGGAAACUGCCUGACGGAGGGGGAUAACUACUGGAAACGGUAGCUAAUACCGCAUACCAUCAGAUGUGCCCAGAUGGGCUUAGCUUGUUGGUGGGGUAAAGGCUCACCAAGGCGACGAUCCCUCGCUGGUCUGAGCCGAUGACAAGGGCCACGGGAACUGAGACAGUGUCCAGGCGCCUACGAGACGCAGCAGUGGGGGAGUUUGCACAAUGGGGGCACGCCUGCUGCAGGCAGGCCGCGUGUAGGAGGAAGGCCUUCGUGUUGUAAAGUACUUUCAGCGGGGAGGCGUUACCCGCAGAAGAAGCACCGGCUAACUCCGUGCCAGCAGCCGCGGUAAUUC